rnacentral:rRNA from 1 species
UGAGGAAUAUUGGUCAAUGGGCGGGAGCCUGAACCAGCCAAGCCGCGUGAAGGAAGAAGGCGCCAGGCGUCGUAAACUUCUUUUGUCGGGGAACAAAGGGCGCCACGCGUGGCGUUGUGAGUGUACCCGAGAAAAGCAUCGGCUAACUCCGUGCC